CCUCCCGUAACUCAGCGGCAGAGUGCCGAUCUUAUAAAUCGGCUGUCGCGGGUUCGACUCCCGCCGGGAGGAC
rnacentral:tRNA from 1 species